rnacentral:lncRNA from 1 species
UGCAGGCUGAGUUUGGGGAGCUGCUGCCCCUUUGGGGCCUGCAGAAAGGGUAAGGGUAGUGUUGAGUCGACAGACAAAACAAGAGAUGGGAAGUCCCCAGGUCACAUGCUUGGAUGUCCACAUAAUAGAGCUGCAGCCUCAAAAGAAGAGAGCAUCUCAUCACCAGAAGCAACCAAGUACCUGGCAGGGAUGCCUCUAAGGACCCUUGAUCCCCUCUGGGAACUGCCAUGCAAGCCACCCUUGUCCAGCACCUGCUGGAAGUCACAUGUACCACAACCACCCUCCUGGCUGGUCUGGCCCUUCUCUAAAUGCCCCAGAAAGUCUCCUGUCCUGUAGCCCUCAUCUUAGCAAGGGUUCCCGGGAUCCAGCCUAAAUCCAGUCCCACGAACUACCUCUGAAAAGUCCACAGACCCGGGAGUUGAUCCCAGCAUCGGAGUCCAAGCGCCAGCUCUUUACAAGAAGCAAGUGGCAAGACUUGACUGUUCUGAUCAAAACUGGAAUCUUUUAUGCACGUCUACAGCUGCCCUGAAUCUAGUGUCGGAUUCCUAAGCCAGGCCAAGGAGAUGGAGAGGGCCUGCCCACCCCCUAAACCCUACAGGCAGGUGGAGAGUUAACAGGAGUGCCUCCCAUUGCCUAAGACGGAGGAAGACGGAGGGGGAGAUAGCACCCAGCAGGGACAGUUUCCAUCUCCCGGCCCCUGUGCCUGCACUGCAGGAUCAGGCCUGCAGAGCAACCGUGAAGUGAGUCUUGGUCUCCGCCCCACAACGUCCCACUGCAGAAACAAGCAAAGGGGACAUGAAAGGAGAAGUCUCCGGUGAGGCCGCCAAAGGCUGAGUGGGAGGGACAGCAGGAUGCCAGGGACAGCUGCCCACUAUGGGUUCCAAAGAGUAGCUGUCCUCACGGAAAUCUGAGGAUCCUCGUUUAGCACCCAAAAAACCUAGGACCUGAUGAGGGGACCAGACAUUGACUCCUACAACCCAGGCUGCUUUAUCAAAACCUGACUUCCAG